GCCCUGAAUGGAAAAGAGGGCGCACUCUCGUCACGAUGACGAGGGCCAGAGCUAUGGUCGGCUCCGGCAAAUUAUUAACUUGGAUGCAGAGACCACAUCCGGCCCUC
rnacentral:ncRNA from 1 species